rnacentral:tRNA from 1 species
GCCUGGGUGGCUCAGUCGGUUGAGCAUCUGACUUCGGCUCAGGUCAUGAUCUUAGUUGGUGAGUUCAAGCCCCACGUCGGGUC